rnacentral:rRNA from 1 species
GACGAACGCUGGCGGCGUGCUUAACACAUGCAAGUCGAACGCUGAAGACCUGGCUUUUGUUGGGUUGGAUGAGUGGCGAACGGGUGAGUAACACGUGAGUAACCUGCCCUCUUCUUUGGGAUAACGCCCGGAAACGGGUGCUAAUACUGGAUAUUCACUGAUCUUCGCAUGGGGGUUGGUGGAAAGGUUUGUUCUGGUGGGGGAUGGGCUCGCGGCCUAUCAGCUUGUUGGUGGGGUGAUGGCCUACCAAGGCUUUGACGGGUAGCCGGCCUGAGAGGGUGACCGGGCACAUUGGGACUGGGAUACGGCCCAGACUGAGACGGGAGGCGGCAGUGGGGAAUAUUGCACAAUGGGCGAAAGCCGGAUGCAGCGACGCCGCGUGAGGGAUGGAGGCCUUCGGGUUGUAAACCUCUGUAGAUAAUGGUCAAGCCGCAACUGUGGGUUGUGGUGAGGGUAGUGGGUAAAGAAGCGCCGGCUAACUACGUG